UGGGGACAAGGUACCAUGGUGACCAUCAGUUCAGUUAACCCCUCGCCCCCGUCUGUCUUCCCCCUGACCUCCUGCACCGCCAAAGGCACCACCCCCCAGGUCACCUUCGGCUGCCUGGCCAAAGGAUACUUCCCCGAGCCGGUCACCGUGACAUGGAGCCCAAAAGUUGCCUCCCCGGGUGUGAAGACCUAUCCCUCCCUGCUGCAACCUUCCAGCGGCCUCUACACGCUCAGCAGCCAGGUCACCGUCCCGGCCAGCAGCUGGGAGUCUAACACUUAUAGCUGCAACGUACAACACCAGCCCACCAGCUCCAGCAUCUCCAAGGAAAUCCCAAAGGCCCUGUCCUCUGAACCCCAGGUGCAAGUCCUCCACUCCUCCUGCACCGCCAACCCAGGCAUCAUCCAGCUGGUGUGCUUCAUCUCCGGCUUCUACCCCAAUUCUUUGAAGGUGGAAUGGCUGGUGAAUGGCAAGCCCAACAUACUUCAGGGUGAAACCGCCCCUUCCAGGAUGGACAUCAUUGGCCACACCUUCAGCACCCGCAACAACGCCAGUAUCUCCCAGGAUGAGUGGCUGGAGGGCAAGACGUACACCUGCCAGGUGUACCACCCGGGCACCAGCACCACAAAUCAGGACCAUGCCCGCAAGUGCGAAGAAGAAACAACAUCUCCCAGCAACAUCCAGAUCUUCCUGGUGCCCCCAUCUCCCACCGCCCUGUAUGUGGCCCAGAGCCCCAUGCUCACCUGCGUGGUGGUCAACCUGCCGAGCAACUCCAGCCUCCGGGUGGUCUGGUCCCGGGAGAAGCCAGGGUCCAUUAGCCCUGAUCGCCUGGACGUCAGUGAGCAGUUCAAUGGCACCUUCACCGCCUCCAGCUCCAUGCCCAUCUUCACCCGCGACUGGGAUGCCGGAGAGACCUUCACCUGCAAAGUGGAGCACUUGGCGCUGCCCUCACCCCUCAUCAAAUCCAUCUCCAAGAAGCCAGGCAGACGCUCUGGCCCAGGCAUCUACCUCCUGCGCCCCCACAAUGAUGAGCUGAGCAGCUCCGAAGACUCUGUCAGCCUCACCUGCCUGGUGCGGGGCUUCUUCCCCGAGGACAUCUCGGUGCAGUGGAUGAAGAACCACAAACCUGACGAGAGCAUGGAAUACAUCACCACCCAGCCCGUCAAGGAUGGAGCCGGCGACUCGAACUUCUUCCUCUACAGCAAGCUGAAAGUCAGCAAGGCCAGCUGGAACAGCGGGGACACCUACACCUGCAUGGUCAUCCACGAAGCCCUGCAGAUGAAGUUCACCCAACACAGCGUCAGCAAAGUCUCUGGGAGCUCCCGCACCAUGGCAGCAUCCCGGCACCUCGCCCACCUCAGAGGGAACCUGAGCCACCUUUCUCAAGCAGAGAAACUAAGGCACAGAGAAAUUGAACACGUGGCCAAGCUUCAGUGCCAGGGUGUAGGGCCACGGCCACAUGGGACAAAGGUGAUCGUGUCUGGUGAGUUUUGCAGCGAGGACGGAGACAAAGAGCUAGACGGACUCUGGUCCACCAUCUCGGUCUUCAUCACCCUCUUCCUCUUGAGUGUGUGCUACAGCGCCACCGUGACCCUGUUCAAGGUGAAGUGGCUGUUCUCCACCGUGGUGCAGCUGAAGCAGGCAAGUGGCCCCGAGUACAAGAACGUGAUCCAGCGCGUGGUGUAGGGGCCGCUGUCCCCAUCCGCCCGGAAACAAGGGGCCGGGACUCCCGGCUCUACUGGUGACACCACCCUGAGUCCCACAGCUGACCCCCGCUAGCGCUGUGCCCCUGGGAGACCCCCCUGGGGGGAGCGAGGAUCUCACCCCACAUGGCCUAAUCCACCCUCAGCCACUGGGGACGCUGCCCUGCUGGGAGCUGGGCUGAGUCCGGAUAACUCGUAUCAUGCAGGGAACCAGCGCCCCUAGCGAGGAAACAACCUGAGUCCCACUUCCCACCCUCCUGAGCCCAACAGCCCCCUGCUCUGGGACUGGAUCAGAGCCAGCGCCCCCUAGAACAGAAAGGCCCCAUAACCCCUUCCCCACCCCCUGCGCCAGCCAGCCCCCUGCCCUGGGGCAGGACCAUAGCCAGAGUUGUGUCUGUCAUGCUGUAUGUUGCAUAUUUAGCUCUUCAUUGGGAUUUUUGUGGGUGGUGUAUGAGUGUGACUUUUGUUGUGUGCACUGAGUGACAAUAAAUAAAUAAAUAUACAAAUCA